UACGGAGGAUCCGAGCGUUAUCCGGAUUUAUUGGGUUUAAAGGGUGCGUAGGCGGGAGAUUAAGUCGGUGGUGAAAUUUUGCAGCUCAACUGUAAAAGUGCCAUUGAUACUGGUUUCCUUGAGUGUGGAUGAAGUAGGCGGAAUUUGUGGUGUAGCGGUGAAAUGCAUAGAUAUCACGAGGAACUCCGAUUGCGAAGGCAGCUUACUAAGCUACUACUGACGCUCAGGCACGAAGGCGUGGGGAUCAAACAGGAUUAGAUACCCU
rnacentral:rRNA from 1 species